rfam:Nicotiana attenuata strain TT chromosome 6, whole genome shotgun sequence.
UGUAAAGGUUUCCUCGGGCCGGACGGAGAUUUACCCUCGAGUGUAAAGGCAGAAAGGAGCUUGACUGCAAGACCCACCCGUCGAGCAGGGACGAAAGUCGGCCUUAGUGAUCCGACGGUGCCGAGUGGAAGGGUCGUCGCUCAA